AACGAACGCUGGCGGCAGGCCUAACACAUGCAAGUCGAACGCCGUAGCAAUACGGAGUGGCAGACGGGUGAGUAACGCGUGGGAACCUUCCCUAUGGUUCGGAAUAGCUCAGGGAAACCUGGGGUAAUACCGGAUAAGCCCUUCGGGGGAAAGAUUUAUCGCCAUUGGAUGGGCCCGCGUCGGAUUAGCUAGUUGGUGGGGUAACGGCCUACCAAGGCGACGAUCCGUAGCUGGUCUGAGAGGAUGAUCAGCCACACUGGGACUGAGACACGGCCCAGACUCCUACGGGAGGCAGCAGUGGGGAAUAUUGGACAAUGGGCGAAAGCCUGAUCCAGCCAUGCCGCGUGAGUGACGAAGGCCUUAGGGUUGUAAAGCUCUUUUGGCGGGGAAGAUAAUGACGGUACCCGCAGAAUAAGCUCCGGCUAACUUCGUGCCAGCCGCCGCGGUAA
rnacentral:rRNA from 1 species